AUAAUACUCCCUCCAUACGGAAUUACUUGUCAUCAAAAUGGAUGUGUCUAGAACUAAAAUACAUCUAGAUACAUCCAUUUCAAUGACAAGUAUUUUCGGACGGAGGGAGUAGUAG
rnacentral:pre_miRNA from 1 species